GAUGGACAGAUUGAGGAGCAGUGUGACAGAUUAGAUGGACAGAUUGAGGUGCAGUGUGGACAGAUUGAGGAGCAGUGUGGACAGAUUGAGGUGCAGUGUGGACAGAUUUAGAUGGACAGAUUGAGGAGCAGUAUGGACAGAUUGAGGAGCAGUGUAGACAGAUGUAGAUGGACAGAUUGAGGUGCAGUGUGGACAGAUUGAGGUGCAGUGUGGACAGAUUUAGAUGGACAGAUUGAGGAGCAGUGUGGACAGAUUGAGGAGCAGUGUGGACAGAUUUAGAUGGACAGAUUGAGGAGCAGUGUAGACAGAUGUAGAUGGACAGAUUGAGGUGCAGUGUGGACAGAUUUAGAUGGACAGAUUGAGGAGCAGUGUGGACAGAUUUAGAUGGACAGAUUGAGGAGCAGUGUAGACAGAUGUAGAUGGACAGAUUGGGGUGCAGUGUGGACAGAUUGAGGUGCAGUGUGGACAGAUUUAGAUGGACAGAUUGAGGAGCAGUGUGGACAGAUUGAGGAGCAGUGUGGACAGAUUUAGAUGG